rnacentral:rRNA from 1 species
GAUAAACGCUGGCGGCGUGCAUAACACAUGCAAGUCGAACGAUGAAGGUUAAUAGAUUUCUUCGGAAUGACAUUAAUUGGAUUAGUGGCGGACGGGUGAGUAACGCGUGAGCAACCUGCCUUACACAAGGGGAUAGCCGUUGGAAACGACGAAUAAUACCCUAUGAUAUGAUAGCCUCGCAUGAAGCUAUCAUCAAAGAUUUAUCGGUGUAAGAUGGACUCGCGUCUGAUUAGCUAGUUGGUGGGGUAACAGCUCACCAAGGCAACGAUCAGUAGCCGGCUUGAGAGAGUGUACGGCCACAUUGGGACUGAGACACGGCCCAG